AGCUCAAAUUUGAAAUCUGGCCCCGUCGGGGUCCGAGUUGUAAUUUGUAGAGAGUGUUUCGGGUGAGACCACGGUCUAAGUCUAUUGGAACAUGGCGUCAUAGAGGGUGAGAAUCCCGUAUGUGACCGUGGCUCGAGCCCAUGUGAAGCCUCUUCGACGAGUCGAGUUGUUUGGGAAUGCAGCUCAAAAUGGGUGGUAAAUUUCAUCUAAAGCUAAAUACUGGCUGGAGACCGAUAGCGCACAAGUAGAGUGAUCGAAAGAUGAAAAGCACUUUGGAAAGAGAGUCAAAAAGUACGUGAAAUUGUUGAAAGGGAAGCGCUUGCAACCAGACCUGUCCGUAGGUGAUCAACCGCUGUUCUCAGUGGUGCACUCGCUCUGCGAUCAGGCCAGCAUCGGUUCCGGCGGUCGGAUAAAGGCCUUGGGAAUGUAGCUGCCUUCGGGGAGUCUUAUAGCCCUCGGUGCAAUGCGGCCAGCCGGGACCGAGGACCGCGCUUCGGCUAGGAUGCUGGCGUAAUGGUUGUAAGCGACCCGUCUUGAAACACGGACCAAGGAGUCUAACAUCUAUGCGAGUGUUUGGGUGUUAAACCCAUGCGCGGAAUGAAAGUGAACGGAGGUGAGAACCCUUUAGGGCGCAUCAUCGACCGAUCCAGAUGUCUUCGGAUGGAUUUGAGUAUGAGCAUAGCUGUUGGGACCCGAAAGAUGGUGAACUAUGCCUGAAUAGGGUGAAGCCAGAGGAAACUCUGGUGGAGGCUCGCAGCGGUUCUGACGUGCAAAUCGAUCGUCAAAUUUGGGUAUAGGGGUACGUGUUCUAUUCGAGAUGAUGAGAUGAGAUUUAAUGCUAAUUUUUUGAUAUAGGCGAAAGACUAAUCGAACCAUCCCUUUAAUACGCUAUAGGUGGUUAAUCAAAGUAUCUUGUUUCUCAAAUACUUUCAGUCCUUCGGGGCGACAUCACUACUUGCAUGAACAAACCUUUAGGUUGACAUGCUGCAGUUCUUCCCACUCGUGUGGGGCCUGUUCACAGACCAAAUAGUGGUGGCCGGGCUAUUUCUUUUAUGAAUGCUCGGUUUAGAAAUGGCCGAGUCCUACUCUUAAUUGAGUCGGUCCU
rnacentral:rRNA from 1 species